GAUGAACGCUGGCGGCGUGCCUAAUACAUGCAAGUCGAGCGAACAGACGAGGAUCUUGCUCCUCUGCCGUUAGCGGCGGACGGGUGAGUAACACGUGGAUAACCUACCUAUACGACUGGAAUAACUUCGGGAAACCGGAGCUAAUACCGUAUAAUAUAUUGAACCUCAUGGUUCAAUAGUGAAAGACGGUUUUGCUGUCACUUAUAGAUGGAUCCGCGCCGCAUUAGCUAGUUGGGAAGGUAACGGCUUACCAAGGCGACGAUGCGUAGCCGACCUGAGAGGCUGAUCGGCCACACUGGAAUUGAGCCACGAUCCAGACUCCUACGGGAGGCAGCAGUAGGGAAUCUUCCGCAAAGGGCGAAAUCCUAACGGUGCAACGCCGCGUGAGUGAUGAAGGUCUUCGGAUCGGGAAACUCUCUUAUUAGGGAAGAAGCAAUGUGUGAGUAACUAUGCACGUCUUGAAGGUACCUAAUGAAAAAGCCACGGCUAACUACGUG
rnacentral:rRNA from 1 species